UUAAUCAAAGAAUGAAAUUCACCUUGAUAAAAUGUUAUAUGCUAAGUAUCAAAUAUACCAAAAUGUUAACUUAAACAUCAUGCCCAAAACAACCUAGGUACAUGUCAUUUCAACACAAACACAUAAAUAUAUACAAAAGAGGUAGCAAAAUGAUUCUCGGUAUGGGUUGUUGAGAAUGGAUGCUUGAACACUUUCAAUCUACGAAAAUCCUUGUUUGAGACCUGUGCACAAAAAUAAACAUAAUCUUACAUUGAGUAUUGAAUACUCGGUGGUGCUAAUAUAAUUCAAGUUCAAUAUAUUAAAACCAAAUUAAAGAAAAUACAUAAAUAUAACAUUAACUACUUGUUUUAAUUUAUCACAAAAUCAAGAAUCAUAUCAUUCCCAAACUUUGCAAUUCAAUACUUGUCUUAAUAUUUCAUAAUUUUAUAUCAUCACAUACUCAAUUGUUCAAUAUACUACUAAAUGUCUUUUUCAUUACUUACACUUUCCGACCUUUAUCAACCGAAGAUAGACAUUAGAAUAAAUACUUAGAUCUAUAUAACGAGUAAGUCACGGCCUUCUAGGAAUUGAGACUAUUUUAUUCUGUCAUCCCGGGUUGCUCAACAAUGAUGGCUUUUAGUGUUUGUCUGUACUGUUUUAUUUUGUCAUCUUGGGUUUCCCGACAAUGAUGACUUUUAGUAUUUAUCCACAACCCUAUGGGAAUUGGGGCUAAUAAACCAUUGAUAACAGUGACUCUAUGACAGCCAACUAUACCUGGACCACGGUUAAGAUCUUUUAAUGGGGCAUUAACAUCAUAAUCAUCAUUGUAAUGAAUAUCAUCAUAGUAUCAACAUCUCAAUAUUUAUAUACAUUAAUCAUGUAUAUUUUAAAGUAUUUAUAGCAUAAGUCAAUUAUUCAUACUUUGAUUCGGCAACUUCAAUAUCUAAUUCAUCAUUUCAUAAAUUUAGGAUAGAUAUGAUUACGUAAAAUUUUAUUUCAUAUUCAUUUAUACAACUAGCUAAUUUAUGAACGACUUAUUGAAAAUGAAUUAUAGUAGCACAAACUAGAAACAACUUUUCGUCAAUGACUUUGGCUUUCCCUUUAUCUUGAGAUGGUUCUACAUCGUCUUUGGCUAUAAAAUUAAAUUUGAAUACAAAAACUCAUUAAUCACAUAGUUCAAACACAAAUCAACUCAAUAUAAUCAUUUUAGUCCUUAUAAGCCUUAAUAUCUGAAAUGCUCAUAAAUUUUUUAUUUACUUUAUUGGAUUGAAAAUCGAUUUCAUAUUUCUCUACUAGAGACCUCUAGCUUUCAAUUCAUGACAUAAUUUUCUAACAACUUUCAACGUAUUCAAUUUGAUUCCUAAUGUUGUAAAUCAACUACAUAGCUUAAUUGAAUUUUCUAAUCAAUUCCAACAUAUUUUACUACUUUUUAACUUAGUCCUAACAUACUCAAAACUCAUACUUCAAAAUCUCAUCAAAAUUAAGCUUAAUUUCACUAAAUCAUUUUAAUGGUAACUUGAAUUUAACUUAAUAAUUUGGAAUUCUAACACAUGGGUAAGACAUGCUAGUUUGAGAUGAUUAUGAAUUAAAAAAAAAUCCAAGGAAAAUACACAUAUUUACCUUAUCAAUUUGUUGGCCGAAUGUGAAGAAUUUAACUUAAUAAUUUGGAAUUCUAACACAUGGUAAGACAUGCUAGUUUGAGAGGAUUAUGAAUUCACAAAACUCCAAGGAAGAUACACAUAUUUACUUUAUCAAAUUGUUGGCCGAAUGUGAAUAAGAAAGCUUUGAGUUUUCUUUCUUUUUCAAUAGCUAUAGAAAGCAAUGCUAAGGGAGGAAGAUGAUUUUCUCUUUCAUCCCACC
rnacentral:lncRNA from 1 species